AAAGGUGAAAUUGAAAUUAUUAUUUAUAAAUGAAUUACUAAAAUUGAAGCAAAAAAAAUUUAGGUUUAAACUAGGAUUAGAUACCCUAUUAUACUAAAAAGUAAUAUAAUGAUCAAAAUAUUAAUAGAUAAGUUCUUUAAAUUUAAAGAAUUUGGCGGUAAUUUAGUCUUGUCAGAGGAACCUGUUUUUGAAUCGAUAAACCACGAAGAAUCUUACUUGGGUUUGUAUACUAUCAUUAUUAGAUAAUUUUAAAAAAAUUAAUUAUUAAUAUUUAUUUAUUUAAUUAAAUUAGAUCAAGGUGCAGCUAAUAAAUAAGUUAAAAUGGGUUACAAUAAAAUUUAUUUAAUACGGAUAAAUUAUUAUUGAAGGAGGAUUUGAUUGUAUAUAAAUUUAAUAAGUUUAUAAGAUAUAAGCUCUAAAUUGUGUACAUAUUGCCCGUCACUCUC
rnacentral:rRNA from 1 species